rnacentral:rRNA from 1 species
UCCCGUUGAUCCUGCGGGAGGCCGCUGCUAUUGGGAUUCGAGUAAGACAUGCAAGUCUAAUCUCUUCGGAGGUUGGCGAAAGGCUCAGUAACACGUCGAUAAUCUGCCCUAUGGUCUGGAAUAACCUCGGGAAACUGAGGGUAAACCGGAUAGAAGAUUGAUACUGGAAGGUUCUUUCUUUGAAAGGUAACGCCAUAGGAUGGGUCGGCGGCUGAUUAGGCUGUUGGUGAGGUAACGGCUCACCAAACCUUAGAUCAGUAGGGGGUAUGGGAGUACUAACCCCGAGAAGGGCACUGAGACAAGGGCCCUAGCCUCAAGGGGUGCAGCAGUCGCGAAACCCUUACAAUGCGCGCAAGCGUGAUAAGGGGAUCCCAAGUGCUCACGUACUGCGUGGGCUUUUGCCAAGUGUAAAAAGCUUGCGAAUAAGUGGUGGGUAAUACCGGUGCCAGCCGCCGCGGUAACACCGGAGCCACAAGUGGGGGCCAGUUUUAUUGGGUCUAAAGCGUUCGUAGCCGGUUUGGUAGGUCUUUUGUGAAAUUGUUGAGCUUAACUUAACAACGUGCAAAAGAUACCGCCAGACUAGAGACCGGGAGGCGCCAAGAGUAUGCCUAGGGGAGCGGUAAAAUGCUUUAAUCCUUGGUAGACUACCGAUAGCGAAGGCACUUGGCGAGAACGGGUCCGACGGUCAGGGACGAAGGCUGGGGGAGCAAAACGGAUUAGAUACCCGUGUAGUCCCAGCAGUAAACGCUGCUCAUUAGGUGUUGCAUAUCCUACGAGGGUAUGCAGUGCCGUAGCGAAGGCGUUAAAUGAGCCACCUGGGUAGUACGGCCGCAAGACUGAAACUUUAAGGAAUUGGCGGGGGCGCACUACAAGGAGUGACGCGUGCGGUUUAAUCUAACUCCACACAGAAAAUCUCACUAGCAGCGACGGCAGAAUGAAGGUCAGAUUGAAGGUUUUACCUGUCAAGCCGAGAGAUAUUGCAUGGCCGCCGUCAGCUCGUGCUGCAAGGUGUCCGGUUAAGUCCGGCAACGAGCGAGACCUGCACCAUUAUUUGCUAGCGAGUCCUUUAGGAUGAUCGAGCACAAUAAUGGGACCGCCUUGGUAACAUGGAGGAAGGUGCAGGCAACGGUAGGUCUGUAUGGUUCGAAUCUGCUAGGCUACACGCGCGCGGCAAUGGCAAGGACAAUGAGCUGCAACUCUGAAAAGAGAAGCUAAACCUCGAAACCUUGUCUUAGUUCAGAUUGUGGGCUGUAACUCGCCCACAUGACGCUGGAAUUCCUAGUAAUCGCUUAUCAUUAAUGAGCGGUGAAUAUGUCCCUGUGCCUUGCACACACUGCCCGUCAAAUCAACCGAGCAGGGCUUAAGUGAGAUCUGCUUUACGGAGCGGCUCGAACUUAGGUUCAGUGAGGUGGGUUAAGUCGUCACAAGGUA